GCUCCCAAUCUCGCACUCCCGCCUCUCUCCUCUCGUUCCCGCGCGAAGGCGAAAUGCUCCCGCCUGGCGAUUCUCCGCGCCCGCGCCCGCCUGCGCCUCUCCCGGCGGCGUCGCGUCGCCCGUCAGCGCCUCUCCCGGCAGCGGCGCCUCGCCCGCCGGCGCCUGUACCUGCAGCCCCUCGCGGCGGCAUCACGAUCGGCGGCGUCGCGGCCGGCGACGUCACGGCCGGCGGCGUCGCGCCCGCCGGCGGCUCGUCCGGCGGCAGCUGUUUCCUCCUCUUCCCUGAUUCCGCCGCCACCACGUUUUUAUCUGCCGCCGUACGGGAUGAACUGGCCGGCCUCUCCUCUGUGCCCCCCGGUGAUGGCUCCCUCCAUUGUAGGGUUUGCGCCUCCAAGUCCUACCCAUCCGCCUCGUCAACCCAGUGAGCAGAUCGACGAAGAAGUGCAGGAGGUGACCAUCCCAGACGCCGAUGGGACGGAUCCUGUCGAGGUCGACUCGGCCAGUGUUGAUUUGGGCCACGGAUUAUCUGCUAGUGAAGAGGAGUUCAACCGUGGAAGCUACUUUGGUGUGCCCGUGACUAAUUUUGUCAGUGCUCAAGGAAGCAUGGAGGAUGGGUAUUUUACAAACUUGAUGAAUGAGGGUGGCAAUACUUUCAAUUGGAGUGCUGAAGGUAGCCAACCCGAUUACCCGAAGAUCCAGUGCAUCAAGGUGGGGAAGGGGAAGCAUCUGCGAGACCUAACCAAAAAAGGUCCAAGAAUUUUAGUAUGCAGGAGGAUGUCUUGUUGGUGUCAGCAUGGGUCAAUGUUAGUAUGGAUGCUAUUCAAGGUGCCGAUCAAUCUCGGAGUGCGUACUGGAACCGUAUUUGUGAUUUUUUUCAUGCAAACAAAUACUUUAGUUCAGAUCGCUCCCAAAAUUCGCUCAUGCAUCGUUGGUCCACUAUACAAGAGUGUCUCAAUACGUUUGCUGGUUGUGUAAGUCGUAUCGAGAAUAGACCUCAAAGUGGUGCCAAUGCUGAGGACAAGCUUUUGCAGGCUGGGCUGUUGUAUACGAAGGAAGACGAAAAAAACAGGACUUUUCAGUUCAUGCAUUGCUACAAAUAUUUGAAGGAUCAGCCAAAGUGGAUUGAUUGGUGAAUUCACAAGGCAGGUCAAAAUAAUGCAAAUAAGAAGCAGAAGACCAAUGUGCAGUCUACACCUGCUACGUCUGCACCUUCAGGUCCUCAGAACUGUGUCCCUCAAGAGAAAGAGGACCCUAUUGCAGUUGAUGCUGUGCAGCCUUCGGGAAGACCUGCAGGGAGGAAGAAAGAGAGAAAAACAGCGUCAACGCUCAGAUCAAUCCAAAAUUGAUGCUUUGGAUCAUUUAUGGGCUAAGAAGAAAGAGGCCGAUGCUGAGAAGGAGCGCCAAAGAGAGGAGAGGUACAGAGCUGCACUUGCACUUGAACAACAACGGAUUAAUUUGGAGAAAGAAAAGUUGGAUUUUAAGAGGAUGAUAGAAGAAGAUAGACUUCUGAGGCUAGAUACAAGUGCGAUGUCAAUCGAGGAGCAAGAGUACUAUAAAAGUGUCAAGACUAGUAUUUUAAGUCGUCGUUCGGCUUCAACAUAAAUUUAGCUUAAAUUCCAUCAAUUAGCAAUUAAAUGUUCGAUGAGGUCCUCUUGUAGCUGAUUGUGAACUGCCUUGUCUUUAAUUUUUUCGUAAUUUGCGAGGAA